AACGCUGGCGGCGCGCCUAACACAUGCAAGUCGAACGAGAAAGUGGAGCAAUCCAUGAGUACAGUGGCGUACGGGUGAGUAACACGUGGGUAAUCUACCUUUUAGUGAGGAAUAACCGAGGGAAACUUCGGCUAAUACCGCAUAAGCCUGAGAAGGGAAAGCAGAAAUGCGCUGAAAGAGGAGCCCGCGGCCGAUUAGCUAGUUGGUGAGGUAAGAGCCCACCAAGGCAGAGAUCGGUAGCCGGCCUGAGAGGGCACACGGCCACACUGGCACUGAAACACGGGCCAGACUCCUACGGGAGGCAGCAGUGGGGAAUCUUGCACAAUGGGGGAAACCCUGAUGCAGCGACGCCGCGUGAGCGAUGAAGCCCUUCGGGGUGUAAAGCUCUUUCGUCAGGGAA
rnacentral:rRNA from 1 species